AUUGAACGCUGGCGGAAUGCUUUACACAUGCAAGUCGAACGGCAGCACGGGUGCUUGCACCUGGUGGCGAGUGGCGAACGGGUGAGUAAUGCACCGGAACGUAUCCAAUAAUGGGGGAUAACGCACCGAAAGGUGUGCUAAUACCGCAUACGCCCUGAGGGGGAAAGCGGGGAGUCGUAAGACCUCGCGUUAAUGGAGCGGCCGAUGCCGGAUUAGCUAGUUGGUGAGGUAAAGGCUCACCAAGGCGACGAUCCGUAGCUGGUCUGAGAGGACGACCAGCCACACUGGAACUGAGACACGGUCCAGACUCCUACGGGAGGCAGCAGUGGGGAAUUUUGGACAAUGGGCGCAAGCCUGAUCCAGCCAUUCCGCGUGAGUG
rnacentral:rRNA from 1 species